rnacentral:lncRNA from 1 species
UACAGUCAAUGAGUAAACCUUGAGUCAAUUGAACCACAUUAACUUUACCCAAGAACCCACAUUUCCAAACCCCAACUCUUUCUUUCUAUUUUUGGACUCUUUCUCGUGCUGAAAAACAAGAAAAAUCGGGAGUGGAGUAAAAGAUCGAAGAUCUGAAAGCGUAGAGCAGCUAAAUCAUUUGGGUUUUGAGAGUAAAAAAAAUAGUCUUUAAAUUUCAGCAACAGAGAGAGAGAGAGUCUUUGAGAAUGCAACAGAGGAAAAGUGUAAAACUCGAGAGAAAUCAGAAGGGAAUUUGCAGACACUGGGGGAGAGAGAGAAAGAGAAAGUUAGAGAGAGAGAGAGAGAGAGAGAGAGAUUUGAAAAUGAUAGAAGAAGAGACGUUAUCACCCAACAAGGAAUCGGGAGAAGAAAGAAGAAAACAAACCGCUGUGUGAGAGAGAGAGAGCUGCUGAGUGGCUGAUGAGUCCAAAGCUUGCGAAAAUUUCGCUCCUUUUCU